rnacentral:lncRNA from 1 species
UGUGGAAGAUUGGAUUGGAUGGUAGAUUUCCUUGGCAUGAAAUCCUAGGUGGAGACUAGGGAUGUGAGAGAUAGUGAGAGAGAGGUGGCUAGAGUUUCAGAAGAAAAAGCUCUGUUUUAUUCCUUACCUUGGUAUUACAAUGAUCUGUAUGUAUACCAAUUACAAUGGGUUAAACAACCUAAGCCCGAAGAACUCUCUAGGCUAAUCCAUACAUGAAAGCACUCACCCAAAUCCAAGUCUUGCAUGCUCUCAUCCCUUGGACUUAAUCCUAGUCCAAACUCUUAGUUAGCUCCCGUAAAACCUCUCAAACCGAGCCUUAAGACCCUUAGGAUCAAAUCUGACCCUAGAUCCAAAUAGAAAAUCCAUCUCGCUAUCAGUCCAUGCUUGAGUUGACUCAGACUGAGAUUGAGUCGACUCACCUAGAACUUAGUCGACUCAAAUUGUGAGUCGACUAACCUACGUGCUGUGCCAUAAUUUUUUUGAGACCCCUCUUUCUAUCUACUUGAGACAUAGUCGACUCAUCUAAGACUGAGUCGACUCAUGUUGGAACUUAGUCGACCCAAUUUUAGAUCGAGCCGACUAACCUGC